UGGGGAAUAUUGCACAAUGGAGGGAACUCUGAUGCAGCGACGCCGCGUGAGUGAUGAAGGAAUUCGUUUCGUAAAACUCUGUUCUAUGGGAAGAAAAGGACUGUACCAUAGGAGAAAGCUCCGGCUAAAUACGUGCCAGCAGCCGCGGUAAUACGUAUGGAGCGAGCGUUGUCCGGAAUUAUUGGGCGUAAAGGGUGCGCAGGCGGCUUUACAAGUUGGAUGUGAAAUAUUGUGGCUCAACCACAAACGUGCAUCCAAAACUGCAAAGCUUGAGUUAAGGAGAGGUAAGUGGAAUUCCUGGUGUAGCGGUGGAAUGCGUAGUUAUCAGGAGGAAUACCGGUGGCGAAGGCGACUUACUGGACUUAAACUGACGCUCAGGCACGAAAGCGUGGGGAGCAAACAGG
rnacentral:rRNA from 1 species